GUUGCGAAUUACCUAUUCGCACGUGUGUCGUACGUUUUACAAUAUAUAUGGUCCUUUAAAUUUUCGACAUAGUUGCGUAAUACGCUUAUUGUCGCACUAGUGCGGUAAAGUAGCACCAUAUGUACUGUAAA